rnacentral:ribozyme from 1 species
UUGCCUGUUUGUUUGGUUCUUGCUAACCAAUUUUUCUUUGAUAUCCUGCCCGGUUAUUGUAUCUCAUUCUCAUUAAUUUUUGAAGUUUCCAAAACCGCGGCUUGUGGUGACCUCAUCCGCAGCAGACGAAUCGAAUACAAGAGAAAAGACAAUGCUCGU